UUUAACGGCCGCGGUAUUUUGACCGUGCGAAGGUAGCGUAAUCACUUGUCUUUUAAAUGGAGACCUGUAUGAAUGGCAUAACGAGGGCUAAGCUGUCUCCUUUUUCCAGUCAAUGAAAUUAAUCUUCCCGUGCAGAAGCGGGAAUGAAUACAUAAGACGAGAAGACCCUAUGGAGCUUUAGACAAAAGGCAGAUAACAUAAAUUAACUGAAUAAACAGGACAAACAAAGUACCCCCUGCCCUCUGUCUUUGGUUGGGGCGACCGUGGGGAAACAAACAUCCCCCAUGUGGAAUGGGAACUAUCCUCAAAACCAGAGCCACAGCUCUAAUAAACAGAACUUCUGACCAAAAAGAUCCGGCAAGCCGAUCAACGGACCGAGUUACCCUAGGGAUAACAGCGCAAUCCCCUUUUAGAGCCCAUAUCGACAAGGGGGUUUACGACCUCGAUGUUGGAUCAGGACAUCCUAAUGGUGCAGCCGCUAUUAAGGGUUCGUUUGUUCAACGAUUAAAGUCCU
rnacentral:rRNA from 1 species